rnacentral:misc_RNA from 1 species
UGUGGUGUACAGCGUUUGGUUCUCGUGGUUCUCUAUGUGAUCGUACGGAUUCUUCUUCAGACUGUGAACGUCGCUUGGCUUGCAAACGGCGUCGUAGUCGAGGUUAGGUUUGCCGGCGAGGUUCGGCUCUCCGAUACCUAGAGUGUACGGACACCGCCUCAUCUCGCAUUCGAUGGAAUAGAAGAUUUUCUGCGCCAUGUCCUCAG